GCUGACAAUCGAAAAGUUCAAUAGACUAGUUAUCUCAUUAUUUAUAAUAGGGACAUUAACUUGUUUAACUGAACUUCUUUUCUGCUGUUCUCCUUUUCCCAACUCUCCUGUUAAUUUUGCUUGCGAAAUGAAUAUUUUCUUAAAAACUUACUCUGGUUAGCCAUCGAAGACUUGGCAAAGAAAUUUCCAUAUAAGUGUUGGUGUUAGAUUGCAUGCAUUAACUGGCAUUGAAACAGGGUGUUCUAACUAGUAGUGGCACAAACCUCCUUUCCG
rnacentral:misc_RNA from 1 species